UACGUAGGUGGCAAGCGUUGUCCGGAUUUACUGGGCGUAAAGAGCGCGCAGGCGGUCGUUCAAGUCGCGUGUGAAAGCCCCCGGCUCAACUGGGGAGGGUCACGCGAUACUGAUCGACUCGAAGGCAGGAGAGGGUAGUGGAAUUCCCGGUGUAGUGGUGAAAUGCGUAGAUAUCGGGAGGAACACCUGUGGCGAAGGCGGCCGACUGGGCCGACCCUGACGCUGAGGCGCGAAGGCGUGGGGAGCGAACGGG
rnacentral:rRNA from 1 species